UACGUAGGUGGCGAGCGUUGUCCGGAUUUACUGGGCGUAAAGAGCGCGCAGGCGGUCGGCCAAGUCGAGUGUGAAAGCCCCCGGCUCAACUGGGGAGGGUCACUUGAUACUGGUCGACUCGAAGGCGGGAGAGGGAAGUGGAAUUCCCGGUGUAGUGGUGAAAUGCGUAGAUAUCGGGAGGAACACCAGUGGCGAAGGCGACUUCCUGGCCCGUUCUUGACGCUGAGGCGCGAAAGCUAGGGGAGCAAACGGG
rnacentral:rRNA from 2 species